rnacentral:tRNA from 1 species
GGGCGUUUAGCUCAGCUGGUUUAGAGCAUCUGCCUUACAAGCAGAGGGUCGGCGGUUCGAAUCCGUCAGCGCCCACCA